GCUGUGAUGGUGUAAUGGUUAGCAUUUCUGCCUAGCAAGUAAGAAGCCCCGGGUUUGAGUCCCGGCCACAGCA